GAGAACGUGAAAUCCCUGAAGUUGAAGCAGAACGAGUCGAAAUUGUUAAGCAGUGAAGUGGUUUGGUUAUACCGUCCAUGUAGCUGUGGUACUGCGCUGGUUGCGCUGUCCGAGCUCUCCUGACUAGUCAGUGUUGCCCACCCUUGUGGUGGUGUCUUGCUUUCUGGAAUGGUUUGCCGUGUCAGUGUUUAGCUUGCCCUUUGGGUGAGAACCGGUGUUAAUGUCGAUCACCGUUCUGUCCCGUCUUGAAACACGGACCGAGGAGUGUAACUUGUGCGCGAGUCAGAGGGUGUUAAACCUUACGGCGAAAUGAAAGUAAAGGUCGAUUAAUCGGCUGAGAUGGGAUCCUUGCUUUACGGCUUGGUGCACCAUCGCCCUGUCUCGAAAGCUUGCUUUUGGGCAGAGGUAGAGCGUACAGGUUGCGACCCGAAAGAUGGUGAACUA
rnacentral:rRNA from 1 species